GUGCUUGCUUUGGCAGCACAUAUACAGAGAAGAUUAGCAUAACCCCUGUGCAAGGAUGACACACAAAUUUGUGAAGCAUUCCAUAUAUAU
rnacentral:snRNA from 1 species